UCGUUGCCGUUGUCGCUGUCGGAAAGAUGUGAGUUUGGCCCUUCGGCCAUCGGAGUCACGUGUAACCGACGUGAUACGCAGCGUUAUUGUACGUGCUUUGCGUUGGUUUGUCAGUAUGGGAACUCCGAAGGCACGACCUAGCAGCGUGUUGAAUGGCGCUGGUUGGUGCAUUUGGGUAGUUCAAGGUCAGCUAGGAGUUUGUACGGUUGCGGUGGUCAAACCUGAUGGCGCUGUCGAGCAACGCAGCCAGCGUGGAAGCCCCCGAGCGGCCGUAUGACCUUGGCGUCAGUGGCGAGUCAUCACUAAAAGCGUCCUGCAAACAGACCCCUAGUACUUCCGAAAAAAAGUGGGAGACAUCGCUUCUGCAGCAUCGCUGUUGACCUAUCAGAUGCUGAGGCUGUAUUAUUCGUAUAUUGAAGAGCCCCCUCGAUUCGCACUACAUCCGCUGAUUGUUUGCAUUAUGUCCGGUGCCGGCCCAUCACCA
rnacentral:lncRNA from 1 species